rnacentral:rRNA from 1 species
GACGAAGGAUGCAAGCGUUAUCCGGAUUCAUUGGGUUUAAAGGGCGCGUAGGUGGUCUUAUAAGUCAGUGGUGAAAUCUCUGGGCUUAACCCAGAAAUUGCCAUUGAUACUGUAGGACUUGAGUACAGAUGCCGUUGGCGGAAUAUGACAUGUAGUGGUGAAAUACAUAGAGAUGUCAUAGAACACCGAUUGCGAAGGCAGCUGACGAAACUGUAACUGACACUGAGGCUCGAAAGUGCGGGGAUCAAACAGG